rnacentral:rRNA from 1 species
UACGUAGGGGGCUAGCGUUGUCCGGAAUCAUUGGGCGUAAAGCGCGUGUAGGCGGUCCGGUAAGUCCGCUGUGAAAGUCGGGGGCUCAACCCUCGGAUGCCGGUGGAUACUGUCGGGCUUGAGUACGGAAGAGGCGAGUGGAAUUCCUGGUGUAGCGGUGAAAUGCGCAGAUAUCAGGAGGAAUACCAGCGGCGAAGGCGGCGCUCUGGGCCGGUACUGACGCUGAGGAGCGAAAGCGUGGGGAGCAAACAGG